AGUGAACGCUGGCGGUAGGCCUAACACAUGCAAGUCGAACGGCAGCACAGUAAGAGCUUGCUCUUACGGGUGGCGAGUGGCGGACGGGUGAGGAAUACAUCGGAAUCUACUUUUUCGUGGGGGAUAACGUAGGGAAACUUACGCUAAUACCUCAUACGACCUACGGGUGAAAGCAGGGGAUCUUCGGACCUUGCGCGAUUGAAUGAGCCGAUGUCGGAUUAGCUAGUUGGCGGGGUAAAGGCCCACCAAGGCGACGAUCCGUAGCUGGUCUGAGAGGAUGAUCAGCCACACUGGAACUGAGACACGGUCCAGACUCCUACGGGAGGCAGCAGUGGGGAAUAUUGGACAAUGGGCGCAAGCCUGAUCCAGCCAUACCGCGUGGGUGAAGAAGGCCUUCGGGUUGUAAAGCCCUUUUGUUGGGAAAGAAAAGCAGAAGGUUAAUACCCCGCUGUUCUGACGGUACCCAAAGAAUAAGCACCGGCUAACUUCGUG
rnacentral:rRNA from 1 species